rnacentral:misc_RNA from 1 species
GAUGAAGAACGCAUCGAAAUGCGAUAAGUAGUGUGAAUUGCAGAAUUCAGUGAAUCAUCGAAUCUUUGAACGCACAUUGCGCCCCUUGGUAUCCCGAGGGGCAUGCCUGUUCGAGCGUCAUUUCACCACUCAAGCCUGGCUUGGUGUUGGGCGACGUCCCCUUUAGGGACGCGCCUCGAAACGCUCGGCGGCGCGGCACCGGCUUUAAGCGUAGCAGAAUCUUUCGCUUUGGAAGUCGGGGCCCCGCCUGCCGGAAUACCUACUCGUAAGGUUGACCUCGGAUCAGGCAGGGAUACCCGCUGAACUUAAGCAUAUCAAUAAGCGGAGGA